GCUGCAACAAGCCAUCCCAAUAACUGCAAAAACAUUGCAUUAUUAUUAACCAGAAUGUUUAUUAGAACAAAAUUAAAAAGUUGCUUGCAAAUAUCCGAAUAUCUCAGUUAAGGUAAUUGCACUAAAGCAAGUAGGAACAAGAGAUUUGUUGGAACAUUUUGCAAGGCAAGGUGUUAUGAAUGAGAUGGGGCUUGCUCCUCAAAAAAGUCUUGUGUUCCUUGUUUUUAUAUUUUAGCCUCUUUUUCCUGGGAACUUAAUAGUGAUGCAAAGGACCAUAAUUGGUAGUUUAGGGUAUAAGGGUCAUAUUGUGGGACUGGAAAACAUCUCCGGCAUAGUGGUGUUAUUGUCUAGCAGCAAGGGAGUCUUUGUUAUCUUUCAGUAUCAGAAAUGAUAUCACAUUGGAGAUUGAGAUCCAGUAGUAGGAGUAGUGAGGUAGCAACAAAGAGUUCACUUUAAGUUCUCUUGUUUCAGAAGAGAUAAAUCAGAGAAUCCCUAAAGAAGCAGAACAGAAAUGCAUGAACAUUGUGCUCCUGAGAAUAAUAUUUUCCUAUUUUCUAAUAGAUCUAGCCUCCUCAUUAUUUUUUAAAUUUCUGUAACAUUUAGACCUCCUUGCAUACUUUCAGUGUGCAUGGAUUCUGCACUCUUCACUGUUUGCUCACUUCUACCUCAUUCUUUAGCAGGGAAACAGUAAAUGUAUUUGAUCUGCUACCUCAUCCAAUUAAUCAAUGCAGCAUUAUCUUCAUACGUUGUACAAAAUUUGAACUAGCUAUUUUAUUUAUUCUAUAUGCCUUCAAGUUUUCAUUCUAAUCUAAUCCAAAAGAAUCAUCCCAUUUCUUCUCCCAUAACUUAUCAAUGCUCCAUACACCAGCUUCACAAGCCUAAAAACCUUUUUUUACAUCAGUCAAUUAAAGAAACUAGUAAGCUCCAACCCAUGUGACUGCAGCACUCAUAAAUCAACAGAAAACAAUAACUGACAGUGAUGUGGAUCCCCAUGGUUUACAAGACUGUUGAACAUCAAAACCCAGUUUUCCAAUCAAAUGUCAAAUGGCUUCCAUAGUGACAUCAUCAGUAAUCAUCUGGCACAUACGAUUAGCAUAAUUAUUAAAUGUCCAUUCUUGUACACUUAACGCUUGGAACUUUGACCUCAUCAAUAUUUGUUUAUUUUCCAGCCUCCCCCUCUAGCAAUGAAUGUCAGCAGCUAUACAAUAGGCUAAGUGCAUACAUAUGACAGUCUAUCAAGCCAAAUGGAGCAGCACAAGUGCAAAUAAGAUGAUAUCAAGUUGUUGACAGCUGAAGUCAUCAGACUCGGAUCAUGCGAGUAAUCUCAAGCUUUAGUUGAACAAGAUAAAUGAUGAACUCUCAAUCCACACAGCUUGACCACACAGCUGGAGAUGGUUUGUUUAUUCCAUGAGAAAAAAUUCGUACCUUGUUACCAAUCAAUAGUCUAUAGGAUGUCUUCUUUCACUAACUAUUUACUUCUACCAGGACUAUUAAGUUGCAGAAUGAAGAGGCUAAACUCUGCUUAACCCAACAAAUGAUAACCAUAUUUAUCUAAACCUUAAUCCCAAAGUAAUACUUCAAUUCAAAUUUAACCCCUAACAAGCUGGGGCUACUAAGGUACUUAAGAAUCUAAAAAAUAUGUGUCAGGGAACAAGAGAAAUCAUCUCAUGUCCAACUGCCACUGUCACCAAGGCACCAACAGUUCCUUAAGA
rnacentral:misc_RNA from 1 species